GUCUCGUUGGCGCAGUAGGCAGCGCGUCAGUCUCAUAAUCUGAAGGUUCGUGAGUUCAAGCCUCACACGAGGCA